CCUACGGGAGGCAGCAGUGAGGAAUAUUGGUCAAUGGUCGUAAGCCUGAACCAGCCAAGUCGCGUGAGGGAUGAAGGUUCAAUGUAUCGUAAACCUCUUUUAUAAGGGAAUAAAGAGCGGGACGUGUCCCGGGUUGUAUGUACCUUAUGAAAAAGGAUCGGCUAACUCCGUGCCAGCAGCCGCGGUAAUACGGAGGAUCCGAGCGUUAUCCGGAUUUAUUGGGUUUAAAGGGUGCGUAGGCGGCCUUGUAAGUCAGCGGUUAAAGCCUGUGGCUCAACCAUAGAAUUGCCGUUGAAACUGGCAGUCUUGAGUUUGAGUGAGGCAGGCGGAAUGCGCGGUGUAGCGGUGAAAUGCUUAGAUAUCACGCAGAACCCCGAUUGCGAAGGCAGCAUGCC
rnacentral:rRNA from 1 species